rnacentral:tRNA from 1 species
GUCUUCGUAGCUAAGUGGUAUAGCGUGGGAUUGCAAAUCCCGAGGUCCCGCGUUCGAACCGCGGCGAGGACU